GUCGAAUGACUUGGAAAAGUCAGUCAAAGAGGGUAAAAACCCCGUAGAUGAAAUUUGGAAGGCACCUAGGAGGAUCCUGAGUACGGCGGAACACGAGGAAUUCCGUCGGAAUCCGGGAGGACCAUCUCCCAAGGCUAAAUACUCCCUAGUGACCGAUAGUGAACCAGUACCGUGAGGGAAAGGUGAAAAGCACCCCGGAAGGGGAGUGAAAUAGAACCUGAAACCGUGUGCCUACAACAAGUCAAAGCCCGUUAAUGGGUGAUGGCGUGCCUUUUGUAGAAUGAACCGGCGAGUUACGAUUGCAUGCGAGGUUAAGUUGAAGAGACGGAGCCGCAGCGAAAGCGAGUCUGAAUAGGGCGUUUGAGUAUGUAGUCGUAGACCCGAAACCAUGUGAUCUACCCAUGUCCAGGUUGAAGGUGCGGUAAAACGCACUGGAGGACCGAACCCACGUACGUUGAAAAGUGCGGGGAUGAGGUGUGGGUAGCGGAGAAAUUCCAAACGAACUUGGAGAUAGCUGGUUCUCUCCGAAAUAGCUUUAGGGCUAGCCUCGGAAUUGAGAAUGAUGGAGGUAGAGCACU
rnacentral:rRNA from 1 species